rnacentral:rRNA from 1 species
GAUGAACGCUGGCGGCGUGCCUAAUACAUGCGAGUCGAGCGAACAGACGAGGAGCUUGCUCCUCUGACGUUAGCGGCGGACGGGUGAGUAACACGUGGAUACCAUACCUAUAAGACUGGGAUAACUUCGGGAAACCGGAGCGAAUACCGGAUAAUAUAUUGAACCGCAUGGUUCAAUAGUGAAAGACGGUUUUGCUGUUGCUUAUACAUGGAUCCGGGCCGGAUUAGCUAGUUGGUAAGGUAACGGCUUACCAAGGCGACGAUGCGUAGCCGUCCUGAGAGGGUGAUCGGCCACACUGGACCGGAGCCACGGUCCAGACUCCUACGGGAGGCAGCAGUAGGGAAUCUUCCGCAAUGGGCGAAAGCCUGACGGAGCAACGCCGCGUGAGUGAUGAAGGUCUUCGGAUCGUAAAACUCUGUUAUUAGGGAAGAACAAAUGUGUAAGUAACUAUGCACGUCUUGACGGUACCUAAUCAGAAAGCCACGGCUAACUACGUG